GAGAUGCGCUUUGCUAUACGUUAUGACGACAAUCAGUUUUUCAACUGACGACAAUCAUUGCGUGGGGCAGACAAAAAAGCUAAACAGCCCUUUCUUCUUGUUAUGUAAUAGCAUAAAACACAGCAAGCAGAGGAGACUUUGACUUUGUGCAUUGCAAAUAUCAUGACGACCAACUAGCACAUUGUAAAUUACGAGGAAGAACAUGUCUAAAUGAAUGUAUACCUAUUUUAAUCUUAGAAAUAGCAUGUAAAGGGUGCAUUGUGUGCAUUUGCACGAAGCUCGGAUGCGCGCCGAGGAUUAAUUUACCGGUGACCAAUUUGAGUCGCCUUCUGAAGAGGUUUAUCGCUGCACUGGUGUGAUUCCUUCAGAAUUUUGGCCGAAAGGAGCGUCUCUCACCUCAUUUGUAAGGAUAUGCCGGAACAGUGUCAUCAUCAAUAACCAAGUUGUGAUAGUCUACUGGGAAGAUUAAUUUUGGAAUCACAUUUUGUCCUGUAUUGAAUAUAUUAAUUAUAUCAAGCAGACGAUAGGCAUAAACAAUGGCGGGCCCGGAGCAGUCCCAGCAGGUAGAGCAGAAAGCUGAGCCCAUAGACGACGCUGAGCUCGCUCUUCAAGGUAUCAACAUGCUUCUCAACAACGGAUUCAAGGAGAGCAACGAGCUUUUCAGAAAAUAUAGGACUCACAGUCCACUGAUGAGCUUUGGGGCCAGUUUUGUCAGCUUCCUGAAUGCCAUGAUGACCUUUGAGGAGGAGAAGAUGCAGACGGCGUGUGACGACCUGAGAACCACGGAGAAGCUGUGUGAGAGUGACAAUGCUGGCGUCAUAGAGACAAUCAGGAACAAAAUCAAGAAGAGUUUGGAGUCCCAGAGGUCAGCGGUCGUGGUUGUGGACCGCCUGCAACGACAGAUCAUUGUGGCCGACUGCCAGGUCUACCUCGCUGUGCUUUCCUUCGUCAAGCAGGAGCUCUCAUCGUACAUAAAAGGAGGCUGGAUCCUCCGUAAGGCCUGGAAGAUGUACAAUAAGUGCCACAGUGACAUCAGUCAGCUGCAGGAGACCUGUGUGAGGCGCUGUUCCUCCCAUGAGGAGGAUCUGUCCUCAGACCAGGCCAAUCACAACUCCCCAGUGGAGGGCGCUGUGACUGAAGAGGCCCUGGACCGGCUCAAGGGCUCCGUCAGCUUCGGCUACGGCCUCUUUCACCUCUGCAUCUCUAUGGUACCACCACACCUACUCAAGAUCAUCAACCUGCUGGGUUUCCCUGGUGACCGUCUCCAGGGUUUGUCCUCCCUCAUGUAUGCCAGUGAGAGUAAGGACAUGAAGGCCCCACUAGCUACGUUGGCCCUCCUGUGGUACCACACAGUAGUGCUGCCCUUUUUUGCACUGGAUGGUUCUGACACUCAGGCAGGCCUGGAGGAAGCCAAGGCCAUUCUGCAGAGGAAGGCUGUGGUCUACCCCAAUUCCUCCCUCUUCAUGUUCUUUAAAGGACGUGUUCAGAGGUUAGAGUGCCAAAUUAACAGUGCGCUGGUGUCCUUCCAUGAUGCACUAGAGCUUGCAUCAGACCAAAGAGAGAUCCAGCACGUGUGUCUCUAUGAAAUCGGCUGGUGCAGUAUGAUAGAGAUGAACUUUGAGGAUGCAUUCAGGUCAUUUGAGAGGCUGAAGAAUGAGUCCCGGUGGUCACAAUGUUACUAUGCCUACCUGACUGGAGUAUGUCAGGGAGCUGCAGGGGACUUGGAUGGUGCCAAGUGUGUCUUCAAAGAUGUCCAGAAACUGUUCAAGAGGAAGAACAACCAGAUUGAGCAGUUUGCCCUCAAGCGGGCGGAGAGACUGAGGAAGAUGUCUCCCACCAGAGAGCUGUGCAUUCUGGGUGUCAUAGAGGUGCUGUACCUGUGGAAGGCUCUGCCCAACUGCUCCUCCUCCAAACUGCAGCUCAUGAAUCAGGUGUUACAGAGUGUGGAUGACGCAUCGUGCAGGGGUCUGAAAAACCUCCUUCUUGGUUCCAUUCACAAAUGCCAUGGAAAUAAUAAAGAUGCUAUCCAGUCGUUCCAGCUGGCAGCCAGAGAUGAGUUUGGUCGACAGACCAACUCUUAUGUGCAGCCAUACUCCUGCUAUGAGCUUGGAUGUGUCCUGCUUGCCAAACCAGAGACGGUGGGAAAAGGGAGAGCUUUUCUGCUUCAGUCAAAGGAGGAUUAUGCAGGCUAUGACUUUGAGAACAGACUUCACGUGCGCAUCCACUCAGCCAUGGCCUCGCUGAAGGAAGUGGUACCUCAAAGACCCGCCGACCACUGAUGUAAUGAUAACUCAGCCUCCAGCUGUGCAUUUGAUGAUACGGGAAGCAUGGCUUUUACUAUACAUUGAAAGCCAUUCAAAACCACAAGAAUUUGGCAGUACAUGCAACCGGCCUCACAACCGCAGACCCUGUGUAACCACGCCAGCCCAGGACCUCCACAUCCGGCUUCUUCACGUGCGGGAUCGUCUGAGGAGGGGGAUGGGGGGUGCUGAGGAGUAUUUGUCUCUGUAAUAAAGCCUUAAUGUGUGGGGGAAAAAACUCAUUCUGAAUGGCUGUGCCCCUGCCCAAUCGUGAAAUCCAUAGAUUAGGGCCUAUUGAAUUUAUUUAAAUUUAAUGAUUUCCUUCUACUCAGUAAAAUCUUUGAAAUUGUUAAAUGUUAAAUUAAAAUUGUUAAAUGCCAUACUAAUAAAGGCAUUUUAAUUUAAUUAUAUGAAGAGUGCCUUGGUCCUCCUUUCUUUUUGAUGACCAAUUUACCCCUUUUACCAAAGAGCACCUCCUGUCUACCAAAAUGUACUAUUGUGUACCUUAGUAGCGCUUCCCUUCCUCCUCUUUCUACUUGUUAUUAGUUGCGUUUCUGUUUCUGUUCAGUAUACAUGAAGGGGGAUAUAAACGGUCUUUGCAUCUGGUGCUGGUCAAAUGUGGAAUAACUCUUUGCCACCCUUCAUAUAGCAUGGUAUAUUAUUAUGAAUGAUUUCUGAAACAUCUAUAUAGGCCUUGUGGUAAAGGGCUUGUGAAGGCUUCAACAUGCUAUGUUUCCUUUAAUGUGGGACUCUUUUUUUCAUGUUCAAGGUUGUUUUUGAACAUUGUUUUAUCUACACUAAAGUCAGUCACUGACCUCCCAUCUUUUCCUGUGACUGUGUAAAAGGAUGUAAGAUGUGGUGUGAUGUAUACCUUUUGACUACUGAGUGUGUGACCAGUAAGUGCUGGUAUAAAGUAAGUUCACAGCUGUAAGAGAAAAGUGUAUUAGAAUGUAAUAAAUAAUGAGUUAAAUGUCAUUAUAUGUAUACCAAAAAACGGAGACAUUCCUUUCUUAGAAAUGUGUUCUAUCCACUUUGUCGUGGGGUGGUGGAGGAUUAUGUGGAUAGAGAUGGUUAAAUUGUAACAGGAAGUUGUUCCUAUGUGGUGUCAGAGCCCUACAUACUGUUCAAUAAAGUGUUGUCAAUUAAUUCUG